rnacentral:lncRNA from 1 species
UUGAUUAGGAUUUGGAUUAGGGUUUGAUUUAGGAUUUAAGAUUUAGGGUUUGGAUUAAGAUUUUACUUAGGAUUAGGGUUUGAUUAGGAUUUGGUUUAGGAUUUAGGAUUUGGAUUAGGAUUUGAUUUAGGGUUUACGAUUUGGUUAGGAUUUGGAUUAGGAUUUGGUUAGGAUUUGGUUUAGAGUUUAGAGUUUGGAUUAGGAUUUGAUUUAGGAUUUAGAGUUUGGUUAGGGUUUGUUUUAAGAUUUAAUUAGGAUUGUAUUUAGGAUUUAGGAUUUGGUUUAGGAUUUAGUUAGGAUUUGGUUUAGGAUUUGGUUGGGAUUUGGUUUAGGAUUUGGUUGGGAUUUGAUUUAAGGUUUUUUUAGGGUUUGAUUUAGAAUUUAGGAUUUUAUUAGGAUUUAAGAUUCAAUUAAUUUUGGCCUAAAGUUUUAAUGAAGUUCAAUAGAAUUUUAACUAGAAUUAAAUUAAGAUUGAAUUGAGAUAUAUUUGAAUGAUAUUUGUGAUCCUUCUAACAUUUCUUUAAGAAUUCUUAUUGUUUGUUUGAAAUUUCUUUGAAGUUUUUUUGAAUUUGAUUAAGCUUGCUUAGUAUUAUUAUGGUCUAAUUAGAGCAUUUUUAGUAUUCUAUUAGAAUUAGGAUUUUGUUAUUG